GGCGAACGGGUGAGUAACACGUGGGUGAUCUGCCUUGCACUCUGGGAUAAGCUUGGGAAACUGGGUCUAAUACCGGAUAGGAACCGUCUUUAGUGUGGUGGUUGGAAAGUUUUUUCGGUGCAAGAUGAGCUCGCGGCCUAUCAGCUUGUUGGUGAGGUAAUGGCCUACCAAGGCGUCGACGGGUAGCCGGCCUGAGAGGGUGUACGGCCACAUUGGGACUGAGAUACGGCCCAG
rnacentral:rRNA from 1 species